rfam:Picea glauca, whole genome shotgun sequence.
GUGUCCAUAGUCUGAUGGAUAGGACAAAGGUAUUCUUAACCUUCGAUAUAGAUUCAAAUCCUAUUGUACGUA